AGAAAAUCAAACACUGGUUUUUAUACUGGUUUGGCCAACAAUGCCUACAUCCAGUGUCCUUCCAACUCAGGAAGCAAAUGCACUAUAAUGGUUGCGGUUUUUACAACAAGGAAUUUAUAGAAGCACCACGCAAAAAUAUAAAUCUCCUAUCUAGCCCAAAACCAAAUAUAGUUGCACACACAAAAACCAGAAUUGUAGCAAGAAUCCUUUCUUCUGCAAUCUGCACCCACGUUGAACAAUCCUCAACGUGUAACCAACACUCUUCACAGGAUGCCAAGCCUAUCACAACAAACUUCACAGGUUGCCAAGCCUAUCACAACAGACUUCACAGGUUUCC
rnacentral:lncRNA from 1 species